UAGCUAGCGAACCCCUUCCCUGGCCAUCCAGCCCUGGACUGCCUUCCCUUGUGCCUGAAGGAGGCUGCGUCCCCAAGCCCACAGUUCUGCAGGGAGGGGAGACCCCAGGUUCUGCUGUUCCCCCACUCAGAAUGUCUCAUGUGCCCAACCGCCAAAGCUCUGCAGCAAUCUGUAUCAGUUAUUAAACAGGCAUUCCAGGAAUGGCCCGCAGUGCAGCAGAGAAAGAGAGUGACAUAUGAAUCAUCCUCCUUAAUCAAGCAGCUCUGUACCUGCUUUGAAGAAAGGCUCAGGAGGCAUUCAGGGCAUCAAAUGACUCUUCCAAAGCAAUGUUUCAGUGCCAUGGUGAUCAGGCAUAUAUAAUGGUGGAGACAGAGAGUCUAGAAGCCAAGGAAGUACAAGGAGAUAAGGAGGAAAAAAUGGUAAGGAGAAGUAAGGUAAUAAAAGAGAAUGAAGCAUUCUUUGAAUGAAUCUAAGAAGUACUUCAAGAAGAAAACAAGAAAAAAUAUAUGAAGAGGCUGAGAGGAAUUCUUAUCUGCAUCAGGAUGUUGACAAGUAAAAAAAAAAAAUGUGACAUUGGGAAAGAAAGAAAAAAAAAAGAAGACUCUUGGGUAUUUGAAGUCAUAAAAUUCUUGGCAAAAACUUAAUACCUUA